rnacentral:tRNA from 1 species
GGGGUUGUGGCUCAAGUGGUAGAGUGCACACCUAGCACAUGUGAGGCACUGGGUUCGAUCCUCAGCACCACA